UAGGAAGUGCAGCCGAAAUCAACGAU
rnacentral:piRNA from 1 species